AAAGGAAUUGACGGGGACUCGCACAAGCGGUGGAGCAUGUGGUUUAAUUCGACGCAACGCGAAAAACCUUACCAGGCCUUGACAUCCCUCUGACGCAUCUAGAGAUAGGUGUUCCCUUCGGGGUAGAGGAGACAGGUGGUGCAUGGUUGUCGUCAGCUCGUGUCGUGAGAUGUUGGGUUAAGUCCCGCAACGAGCGCAACCCUUAUCAUUAGUUGCUAACAUUAAGUUGAGAACUCUAAUGAGACUGCCAGCGAUAAGUUGGAGGAAGGUGGGGAUGACGUCAAAUCAUCAUGCCCCUUAUGGCCUGGGCUACACACGUGCUACAAUGGCCGGUACAAAGAGCAGCAAUACAGUGAUGUGGAGCAAAUCUCAAAAAGCCGGUCUCAGUUCGGAUUGUAGUCUGCAACUCGACUACAUGAAGUUGGAAUCGCUAGUAAUCGUGAAUCAGCAUGUCACGGUGAAUACGUUCUCGAGUCUUGUACACACCGCCCGU
rnacentral:rRNA from 1 species